rnacentral:SRP_RNA from 1 species
ACAUCGGUCUUACGCGAUGAAACCCCGCCAACCCCGCCAGGUCCGGAAGGAAGCAACGGUAACGGGCCGUUUCGUGUGCAGUGAGCUCCCGGUGUCCG